rnacentral:rRNA from 1 species
UGGGGAAUUUUGCACAAUGGGCGAAAGCCUGAUGCAGCAACGCCGUGUGUGUGAUGAAGGUCUUCGGAUUGUAAAGCACUUUCGACCGGGACGAACACCUGUUGGCUAACAUCCAACAGCCUGACGGUACCGGGAGAAGAAGCACCGGCUAACUCUGUGCCAGCAGCCGCGGUAAUACAGAGGGUGCAAGCGUUGUUCGGAAUUAUUGGGCGUAAAGCGCGUGUAGGCGGCUUUGCAAGUCGGGUGUGAAAUCCCUCAGCUCAACUGAGGAAGUGCGCCCGAAACUGCAGAGCUUGAGUACCAGAGAGGACGGCAGAAUUCCCCAAGUAGAGGUGAAAUUCGUAGAUAUGGGGAGGAAUACCGGUGGCGAAGGCGGCCGUCUGGAUGGAUACUGACGCUGAGACGCGAAAGCGUGGGGAGCAAACAG